rnacentral:rRNA from 1 species
GAUGAACGCUGGCGGCGUGCCUAAUACAUGCAAGUCGAGCGAACGGACGAGAAGCCUGCUUCUCUGAUGUUAGCGGCGGACGGGUGAGUAACACGUGGAUAACCUACCUAUAAGACUGGGAUAACUUCGGGAAACCGGAGCUAAUACCGGAUAAUAUUUUGAACCGCAUGGUUCAAAAGUGAAAGACGGUCUUGCUGUCACUUAUAGAUGGAUCCGCGCUGCAUUAGCUAGUUGGCAAGGUAACGGCUUACCAAGGCAACGAUGCAUAGCCGACCUGAGAGGGUGAUCGGCCACACUGGAACUGAGACACGGUCCAGACUCCUACGGGAGGCAGCAGUAGGGAAUCUUCCGCAAUGGGCGAAAGCCUGACGGAGCAACGCCGCGUGAGUGAUGAAGGUCUUCGGAUCGUAAAACUCUGUUAUUAGGGAAGAACAUAUGUGUAAGUAACUGUGCACAUCUUGACGGUACCUAAUCAGAAAGCCACGGCUAACUACGUG